AUUGAACGCUGGCGGCAUGCUUUACACAUGCAAGUCGAACGGUAACAGGUCUUCGGAUGCUGACGAGUGGCGAACGGGUGAGUAAUGCAUCGGAACGUGCCCAGUCGUGGGGGAGUAACGCAGCGAAAGCUGUGCUAAUACCGCAUACGAUCUAUGGAUGAAAGCGGGGGACGUCGCAAGAGCCUCGCGCGAUUGGAGCGGCCGAUAUCAGAUUAGGUAGUUGGUGGGGUAAAGGGCUCACCAAGCCAACGAUCUGUAGCUGGUCUGAGAGGACGACCAGCCACACUGGAACUGAGACACGGUCCAGACUCCUACGGGAGGCAGCAGUGGGGAAUUUUGGUACAAUGGACGCAAGUCUGAUCCAGCCAUUCCGCGUGCAGGAUGAAGGCCCUCGGGUUGUAAACUGC
rnacentral:rRNA from 1 species